rnacentral:rRNA from 1 species
CGUGUCGUGAGAUGUUGGGUUAAGUCCCGCAACGAGCGCAACCCUUGAUCUUAGUUGCCAGCAUUCAGUUGGGCACUCUAAGGUGACUGCCGGUGACAAACCGGAGGAAGGUGGGGAUGACGUCAAAUCGUCAUGCCCCUUAUGACCUGGGCUACACACGUGCUACAAUGGAUGGUACAAAGGCUGCAAGACCGCGAGGUUUAGCCAAUCCCAUAAAACCAUUCUCAGUUCGGAUUGCAGGCUGCAACUCGCCUGCAUGAAGCCGGAAUCGCUAGUAAUCGCGGAUCAGCAUGCCGCGGUGAAUACGUUCCCGGGCCUU